UGUUGAAAAACUAGUUCCCGUAUGAUCAUUGAAGUUAAUCAAUGUCAAGCCUGGUCAGUACCUGGAUGGGUGACCACUUGGGAAUACCAAGUGCUGUAAG